rnacentral:rRNA from 1 species
AUUGAACGCUGGCGGCAGGCCUAACACAUGCAAGUCGAGCGAGCGGCGGACGGGUGAGUAAUGUCUGGGAAACUGCCUGAUGGAGGGGGAUAACUACUGGAAACGGUAGCUAAUACCGCAUACCAUCAGAUGUGCCCAGAUGGGAUUAGCUGGUAGGUGGGGUAACGGCUCACCUAGGCGACGAUCCCUAGCUGGUCUGAGAGGAUGACCAGCCACAGUGGAAAUAAGGCACGGGCCAGACGCCUACGGGGGGCAGCAGUGGGGAAUAUUGCAGAAGGGGCGCAAGCCUGAUGCAGCCAUGCCGCGGGUGUGAAGAAGGCCUUCGGGGUGUAAAGCACUUUCAGCGGGGAGGCGUUACCCGCAGAAGAAGCACCGGCUAACUCCGUGCCAGCAGCCGCGGUAAUAC